GAUGAACGCUAGCGGCAGGCUUAACACAUGCAAGUCGAGGGGCAGCAUGAGGGUUAGCAAUAACCCUUGAUGGCGACCGGCGCAAGGGUGCGUAACGCGUGAGCAACUUGCCCGUUUCUGGGGAAUAACCGGUGGAAACGCCGACUAAUACCCCAUAGUAUUGAGUUUAGGCAUCUUUACUCAAUUAAAGAAUUUCGGAAACGGAUAGGCUCGCGUGACAUUAGCUAGAUGGCGGGGUAACGGCCCACCAUGGCGACGAUGUCUAGGGGUUCUGAGAGGAAGGUCCCCCACACUGGAACUGAGACACGGUCCAGACUCCUACGGGGAGGCAGCAGUGAGGAAUAUUGGGCAAUGGGGCGAAAGCCUGACCCAGCGACGCCGCGUGAGGGAAGAAGGUCUUCGGAUUGUAAACCUUUGUUGACAGGGACGAAAAAGAUGACGGUACCUGUCGAGGAAGCCACGGCUAACUACGUGCCAGCAGCCGCGGU
rnacentral:rRNA from 1 species